CAUCGGAAUCUACUCUGUCGUGGGGGAGUAACGUAGGGAAACUUACGCUAAUACCGCAUACGACCUACGGGUGAAAGCAGGGGAUCUUCGGACCUUGCGCGAUUGAAUGAGCCGAUGUCGGAUUAGCUAGUUGGCGGGGUAAAGGCCCACCAAGGCGACGAUCCGUAGCUGGUCUGAGAGGAUGAUCAGCCACACUGGAACUGAGACACGGUCCAGACUCCUACGGGAGGCAGCAGAG
rnacentral:rRNA from 1 species